UAUGCCCAUAUCAUAUUGAAACAGCGGUUCUUGUACGAUCACCGAAGUUAAGCAACGUCAAAAGCUGGUUAGUACCAAGAUGGGGGACCACUUGGUAAUACCACGUGCUGUAAG